rnacentral:rRNA from 1 species
GACGAACGCUGGCGGCGUGCUUAACACAUGCAAGUCGAACGGAAAGGCCCUGCUUUUGUGGGGUGCUCGAGUGGCGAACGGGUGAGUAACACGUGAGUAACCUGCCCUUGACUUUGGGAUAACUUCAGGAAACUGGGGCUAAUACCGGAUAGGAGCUCCUGCUGCAUGGUGGGGGUUGGAAAGUUUCGGCGGUUGGGGCUGGACUCGCGGCUUAUCAGCUUGUUGGUGGGGUAGUGGCUUACCAAGGCUUUGACGGGUAGCCGGCCUGAGAGGGUGACCGGGCACAUUGGGACUGAGAUACGGCCCAGACGCCUACGGGAGGCAGCAGUGGGGAAUAUUGCACAAUGGGCGGAAGCCUGAUGCAGCAACGCCGCGUGCGGGAUGACGGCCUUCGGGUUGUAAACCGCUUUCGCCUGUGACGAAGCGUGAGUGACGGUAAUGGGUAAAGAAGCACCGGCUAACUACGUG